rnacentral:tRNA from 1 species
GCGAGGGUAUCCAAGCUUGGCCAACGGAGUGUGACUCAAGAUCACAUCCUGCAGAGGUUCGCGGGUUCAAAUCCCUCCCCUCGCA